rnacentral:sRNA from 1 species
CAACAAACGAAAGGAGGUGAUCCAGUGUCUCAUUGCCCCAAGGCGUCCACCGUGACUGCAAGCUGGAUCAUCGCCGGCGCCACCGCGUAGGCGAGUCACCACAUCGCAGCAGCCGGUCAGCCGGCAGCAAUGGAAGGCCUCGGGGGGAAACCCCCGGGGCCU